AUGCAAGUCACACCGAACCAUCUUGGUGUUUAUUUUGGAAGAUCCAACUGUAACAUAAUCCUCUACAAGUUCUUGGCUUCUUGCUGACAUAGUCUAAAGCUUUCACUGUCCUUGGAAGCCAAGACAAGAUUUUAUAUUCACAUUCUAUUGUCUACAAUCAAAUUUGUAGAGGUUUUUCUGAAUCAAAUUUCUGGAUGAUGAAAUUGAAACAAGACCAACAGAGGACGCUUUCACAGACAACUUCCUAGGAUAGUACGUUGAUCCAACUACUGAUGCCAUAUCCCAUUAGCGAGGUUGGCAAUGGCACUUUGACUUGGCCUGAAAACUGUUGUUCGCAGGCUCAGAGUCACAGCUCGUACGGUCCCACCUACACAAGAGAAAACAGAGAUGAUAAGAACAGCCUGAACAACAAACCCAAUACUCCAGAACAAAUAUCCAAUCCAUGCCGCAUCACAUAAAUAAAAUAAGUAAAAUCACAUAAUUUAUUGGCCAAAAACAUAUAAACAUAAUAGCAUGCAAAACAAGAGUUGACCGGAUCAAAGCUCAGAAGAUGUUCCCAGAUAAAGCCCCAAAGAACUAGCAAGAAGCAACUGCUUCCACCACCAAAGAGUAACAAGUAAACGGUUUCUUAAAUCAUUUCAUAUUUUGAUCAGCAACUGAGCUCUUCAGAGGUUUCUUUAAGUCUUAAGGCCUCCCACUACCAUGCAUACAUGCAUUUUCUAUGUGCAUGUUGCUUGGACCUGGUAAGCAUUCUCUGGCGAUGCCCGAUAAGAAAUCCCUUGAAUCAAGUUAUAUAAGGUUGUCUUGUUUGAUUAGCUAUUUUCUUUGCCUGGUUGCCAACCUCAAGGAGGGAGACGCCAUUGGCAUCUACUCGCUCCUGAAGGAGAACCUUCUUUGUUCAUUGCACAGUGCUCUCCCACAAGAACAUAUCAUCAGAUUUGGUUGUCUUCUGGUGUAAAUUUGAUUUGCGUGGAGGCUGACAACCACGUGAUAUGUUGGUGGAGAUGCAGUGGUUGCUCCUUCUGUUCAUGCUCUUGGUAGGCCUCCAGCCAAGCUUCAGUCAGACGAACCCUCAAGAUGGUAAGCCUUCGAUUUUUCUGCUUUUCAAUACGUUAUAGGAAGAAAGAUAACUUUUUCAGGAUUUUUCACUCAAGACUGGGUGUUGAC
rnacentral:lncRNA from 1 species